rnacentral:sRNA from 1 species
AAUCUUCCCCUACCCUCUCCUCUGCUUGCCCGGCCUCCCCCUUCUGACUCUUCUCUCCCCUCCUUGUAUCCCCCAUCUUGCCUCCCUGCUUCCCACAUCCGACCACCCAACCUCUCUCCUCAGACGUGGACGAAUGUCGCGAGCGAGGCCCAGCCCUGUGCGGGUCGCAGCGCUGUGAGAACUCUCCCGGGUCCUACCGCUGUGUGCGGGACUGCGAUCCUGGGUACCACGCGGGCCCCGAGGGCACUUGUGACGAUGUGGAUGAGUGCCAAGAAUAUGGUCCCGAGAUUUGUGGAGCUCAGCGUUGUGAGAACACCCCUGGCUCCUACCGCUGCACACCGGCCUGUGACCCUGGCUAUCAGCCCACGCCAGGGGGCGGAUGCCAGGAUGUGAAUGAGUGUGAAACACUACAGGGUGUAUGUGGAGCUGCCCUGUGUGAAAAUGUAGAAGGCUCCUUCCUCUGUGUCUGCCCCAACAGCCCGGAGGAGUUUGACCCCAUGACUGGACGCUGUGUUCCCCCACGAACUUCUGCUGACGUGGACGAAUGUCAGCUCUUCCGAGACCAGGUGUGCAAGA